UUUUAUUCUAUUUGUGCUUCAUGGAUAUUAGGAAGAGGAUUUGUUGCUAGGAUUCUUCCACGAACCUCAUCUAGGUUUCCGUUGAGCCGUAGAAGAAAUUUAUAGAUUCUUCUCUUCCCUACAUGUUUCUUGUGUCUUGCGGCAUCUCCUGGAGAUUCCAACUCAUUUUUCCUUGAUGCAAGUCAUGUAGGACACCUUCGAUCUCAAAUGAUUCAGCCAUAUUCUCAAGGUCUGAAUUUGUUUCUUUUGUAGCAUCUCAAUUUUCCUAUGCAGUCUGAUAGAGAAGGGAAUUUUCUCCAACAUCCAUUGCUCUUAUAAUUGAUUAGCCAGGACAUAAGCAUAUUAUUUUUUGCUUCAACUCUUGAACUUCCAAUCAAUGGUUGCUAGAGAUAUGGCAGUCCUUGUGAAAUAUUCUCCUAUACCUUUCUGCAAAUAAACAACAACAAAGGAUUGGAACGGUGUAAAUAAUUUUCACACUCAAAAUUAUUGAGUGCAUUUUCCAUUCUGGUUUCUGAUAAUAUUUGCAUGCGCUCACAGUUUGCACUCCAAUUUGUGGAUUUCUGGACCUGUUUAAUUACAGGUUAAUUGAUUUCACCUCUGUUUGGCUAUGUAUUUUGGCAAUUAUUCAAGAGGUAUAGGUGUACACCUAAACUAACUCAAUCAGUGUCAGUUUGCUCUUUAUAAUAUUGUACAACAUACUGCUACCUUUGGACAGAGGGCUGAUACUUCUUAGGGUAAUUGUUUCUUCAUCCCUCUAUAAGUCGAAAUCUAAUUUUCCCCAGAAAUGUUUCAGUUGAUUUAUAAAUCAAUAUCUUUACUCACUGCAAUUUGAAGCAACUUUCAGGAUCAGCAGAAGUUUUGACGUUGGUCAAUUCAUUAGUUCAGUGUUAGCUAAAGAGAUUGAAAACACAGUUCAAACUUCUUGCAAAAGGUUGGGGUUUUUUAUUCCUAUUACAAUAAUUCUUAUCUUAUAGUUCUUUUAAGAAGUUAAAUUUUCAUAUUUCUAUUUUAGAGAAGUGACAUAAUAUGUAAAUCAAGUUGUUAAAGAGGAAUUAAACAUAUGAAUUAGAUUAAUCUUUGGAAGGCCUUAACAUUUGUGAUGAUACAGACACAUUCUCUUUUCACUAAUUCUAUUAACAAUAAAAACAGUCUAGUGCUCCAUUGUUGUUUUUGCUCAUAAUCAUAAGCCUCUUUCACCUCCUUUAUUUUCUCUCACAUAAGACUUUGUUUUAAUUUGAACUCAACCAAAUCUAUGCGAUAUUUCAUUUCCAUUUUGAGAUAAAAACCUGUUUUGAUUAUAUAUGCGUGCAGAUUACAGCAAAAUUAAGGAAUGCAUUGUUCUUAUGAAAGUGAUGCUUGAAAAACUUGGUGUGGGGAACCCUUACGAAUGAUUAGCUAUGGUAUGUAAUCUUUAAUUUUUCACAUACUGUGAAUAUUGUUGUAGGAAAGUACACUUAGGGUCCGUUUGAUUGCAAAUGUGGAAUUUGGGUGGAAAGAAAACGAAUUCCAGGAAAUUGAAUUGAUGGG
rnacentral:lncRNA from 1 species